UAUAAAGACACACGUGCCGUGGCAACACAUGGGCAAUGAAUUAUAGUGUACGACUAAAUUUGCAUGACAAGAUGAGAGCCUCCAUUGCUCUAUGGAAGCCAAGGCAACAUGCAAAACUUAGGAGUUGGGCUAAUAGCCCAUAAGCCCACAACAAUCAAAACACCUGAAGCUCUGGACUUGGGCUACAAGUCACAAGCCCACGCUUCCAGGCUCCCAUUUUUUGUGUCAAAACGAGGAUAGAAGCAGCCCUUUUGCAACCGCUGUGAUACUGCUUGUAAAGCUCACUGCGGUGUUGAGAAUUUACAGAGGAAUAAAUGAAUAAACGGCACUAAAUGGAUAAACAAUGGAGUCAAAGCUACAUGUUUCUUUCAGAUUUGGAUGCUUCUUUAUCAGUGAUUAGGAGGGUUGUUGGGCUCAGGAAGCUAAUGGACGGAAACGAAUGGCGUUUACUACAAGAUAUGGUUGAGAAAUAAGAGUUGGAGAUUGUCUCUUUCUUUGCUUUUAAAGGGAGGAAUCUAUUAUCAAUCCUCUCAUACUUUCAUGAAAGCAAUGUGCAUAUUUCAAGUUCAUUCCAUCACUUCCGAGUGCAAAUUUACCCACUGCAUGUAUUCAAUUAUUCAGGGAAUCCGUUUAGGUAAAAGAUCUGAAACAUCCUCAUUUCAAUUUUUUUGUAGAUUUCUUUAUGUUGGUUUUUACCACAAUUUAUUAAUUUUUGUCGUUUCAAUUUUAUGAAUUAUAGAUUCUUGAGAACAAGUUUUCUUUAGAAAUAAAAAAUAUAACUUUACAAAACCUUAGUUGUAAUUCUUUUUCACUGUAAAAUGCGUGAAAGCCCUCCAUGCUCAUUGAAACGAAAUGAAAAGGAGUUAUUCCAAUGAAUUAAUUGAGAGGCCAAGUAGUGAAAAGAUAUCAUGACAUAGCAACUUCAGCCAGGCAUAGGGAAUGGCCUACAUUCCACAUACACUGCUCCACAACUCAUUAAUUCGAUUGUAUAUUUCAAUGAUUGUUCAAACUAGAGACAAAAUCUAUAUAUAUAUAGAGAGAGAGGGGGAGGGAGAUUGCUAUAAAUUUGGUAAAUAGUGGCAAACAGUCUAUGAUGGCCCACGCGUUAGGCACUUGCAUGAAUUUGGACCACCUAUAAUGCCCUGCCUUUCCAUGCUUAGGAGUGAGUGAAUGUUCUAAGGGUGAGUUGGUUGCAGUUGUGCUCCAUGAUUUCAGCUUAUUAAAGGAAAGAAAAAGGCCAUCUUUUGCUUUGCUAGCACUGGUCUGUCUUGCUUCUUGACCAUGAAAAGGAGAUUGGGAAGAAUGAUGCAGAGAGAAUCAUUCCACUUCUUUUGAUGCACUUGCAACUUACCGAAUGAUGUUUUUUUUCAAAGUCAAAUAUACGGGCCUAAUGAUCACCGAUAGUUUAAUGACGCUUAGGCAUGUCUCAGCACAGAAUAUUUAUCUCUGCUCUGCUCUGCUCUUUUUCUGGGAAAAUCACACUGUUUCCUGCAUAUAAUCACGUAUCUGUGAUAGUUUACCAAGAACUUUCUGCGUUGUUUUCUCCAAGUAAAAAAGAUGGUGAAACUAGCCAUGCCUCUUACAAACGGUAGUGAAACCAGAGGUUUUUAGCAACAUAUCAACAAGUCCUCCAAACAAAUUGAUGCCAUCUCUACUUCCUAUCGAUAUUAUUUUGUACAAGAACAUUUUCUUUUUAUUUUUGCACCAGUUUUUACACGUCAAGAACAGCAGCAACGCAUCUACAUUUGCUUUUCUGGACCAUGCUGGAGGACAAGCUUAGAUGCCAUACUAACCUGAAAGACCAAGUAAGCUAUGGAAUCAUUAUUCUACACAUGUAUCCAUCCCACCUUUUCAAAUUUGUCUUUCUUGCGUGCCUUCAGAAUCUUGAAGACUGAUGUGCACUUGUCAAUGCCUUGUCCUGUAAGAUGAGCUAGUUUUUGUUUGGACCACGAUGAAAUUUCCAUAACCAAUAAAGUGAAGAUUUAUUUCUAAGCAAUUAA